AGCGUAGGCGGGCUUCUAAGUUAGGUGUUUAAUCCCGGGGCCCAACCCCGGUCGUGCACCUAAAACUGGGAGUCUUGAAUAGGGGAGAGGUCAGUGGAAUUGGAGGUGUAGCGGUGGAAUGCGUAGAGAUCUCCAAGAACACCAGUUGCGAAGGCGGCUGACUGGACCCAUAUUGACGCUGAGGCUCGAAAGCAUGGGGAGAAC
rnacentral:rRNA from 1 species